GAUGCAAACUUCACUUCCUCCCCUCCGAACGAGAGCUCAGGGCUCUGCUUUUCUUCCCCGCAGUCGCACAGGAUUCAAGAGCUCGAACUCCGAGAGAUGCAAUAAGCGAUUGUGUUACGAGUCUCUGGCAGCGCCAAAUCCGCGAGCACGGGAUGGUGCAGACAGGAGAGUGCACCUCUGACAACUCAGGUAAUGGAAGGUCUUACCUGGAUCUUCCCUGAUGAGGCUUGGAAUUUAGCAAAGGAAAAAGAUACCUGUAGACUUGUCAGUGGGUACUGAACCGUAUUGGGAGGGUAGGAGGAAUCUGAAGAAGAUUUUCAAGCACUAAGCAUAAAAAUAAAUGGCAACAUAAAACCCGUGUGAAGAAGGAAGAAAAGCGUUUAUGUUUGUUAUAUUUCCAGAUACAGAUAUUUGCAUCCAAUAACCCUCACAGUCGUGCUCAUGGUACGUGGCUUUGUAAUCAAAAAUAAUUUGGGAUGAGGCAAAGUAAGCACCUCAAGUUUCUGAAAACAUUCCCAGUUUAACAUCACACAUAGUUGCUGUGUGAUAAGAACACGAAUGUGUGGGAGGCCUUUC